AUGUUUUGGGGAAUCGGUGCUACUGUUAGGUUUCCUUAUAUGUAUCUUAGAAUGUUUGCAACUAUCUCUAAGAUUGUGUUCAGAUAUAACACUUCAUCAAUUCAGAUGGAAAUGGGAAUACCUCAAAUUUCAAACUUCUGCUUGUCAAAGAAAGCAGUCAACAAAGUGAAAAGGCAACCUAGAGAAUGGGAGAAAAUGAUUGCAAAUAAUCUACCUAAUAAGGGUUAUUAUCCAGAAUAUAUAAGGAGCUUCUGUGACUCAAGAAUAAUAACAACAACAAACCAAAUAACCCAAUUUAAAAAUGAGUAG
rnacentral:lncRNA from 1 species